rnacentral:rRNA from 1 species
GCAACACGUACAGGUGUGGCAAGGAUGGAAAUCGGACAUAAGGCUCCGGGUGGUAGUGGGGGAAGGCCAGCCGCCAACCGGAUAAAAGCGACCCUGGGGGUAAAAGUCUUAUCGCACCAAAGAGUCCGAAUCGACGUGGCGGGUUGGCACCUCGAUGUCGGCUCACCACAGCCUGGGGCUGUAGUAGGUCCCAAGGGUUGGGCUGUGCGCCCAUUAAAGUGGUACGCGAGAUGGGUUCAGAAUGUCGUGAGACAGUUCGGUCCCUAUCCGUCGCAGGCGUAUGAAAUUUGAGAAGACCUGUCCUUAGUACGAGAGGACCGGGAUGGACGUACCUCUGGUGUACCAGUUGUCCUGCCAAGGGCAUGGCUGGGUAGCUAUGUACGGAAUGGAUAAGCGCUGAAAGCAUCUAAGCGCGAAG